UACGUAGGGUGCAAGCGUUGUCCGGAAUUAUUGGGCGUAAAGAGCUCGUAGGCGGUUUGUCGCGUCGAAUGUGAAAACCCGGGGCUCAACCCCGGGCCUGCAUUCGAUACGGGCAGACUAGAGUUCGGUAGGGGAGUCUGGAAUUCCUGGUGUAGCGGUGAAAUGCGCAGAUAUCAGGAGGAACACCGGUGGCGAAGGCGGGACUCUGGGCCGAUACUGACGCUGAGGGGCGAAAGCGUGGGAGCAACAGG
rnacentral:rRNA from 1 species